rnacentral:pre_miRNA from 1 species
UGAUGAUGAUGACGACGAUGAUGAUGAUGAUGAUGAUGAUGAUGAUGAUGAUGAGAAUUAUUAUUAUUAUUAUUAUCAUCAUCAUCUUGUUCUUCU